UGGUUAGGCUGUUCCCCCCCCCCCCCCCCCCGGCCUUCAGAAUGAGAUCCAUUGUGGGGCACUCAAUCCAUUAAUUAGAAAAUUGCCUUCAUCUUACAUGCUGGUGUUUCGGC
rfam:Rattus norvegicus chromosome 4, whole genome shotgun sequence.